UACGUAGGGUGCAAGCGUUGUCCGGAAUUAUUGGGCGUAAAGAGCUCGUAGGCGGUCUGUCGCGUCUGCUGUGAAAACUCGGGGCUUAACCCCGGGCCUGCAGUGGGUACGGGCAGACUAGAGUGCGGUAGGGGAGACUGGAAUUCCUGGUGUAGCGGUGAAAUGCGCAGAUAUCAGGAGGAACACCCGUGGCGAAGGCGGUUCUCUGGGACGGUACUGACGCUGAGACGCGAAAGCGUGGGGAGCGAACAGG
rnacentral:rRNA from 1 species